GAUGAAGAACGCAGCGAAAUGCGAUAAGUAAUGAGAAUUGCAGAAUUCAGUGGAUCAUCGAAUCUUUGAACGCACAUUGCGCCCCUUGGUAUUCCGAGGGGCAUGCCUGUUCGAGCGUCAUUUCAACCCUCAAGCUCUGCUUGGUCUUGGGCCUGGCCGUGAUGGCCGGUCUUAAAAUCAGUGGCGGUGCCGUCGCAGGCUCCAAGCGUAGUACAUCUCUCGCUCUGGAAACUUGGCGGUGCCUGCCAGACAACCCCUAAUUGUCUCUUUCGGUUGACCUCGGAUCAGGUAGGGAUAUCCGCUGAACUUAAGCAUAUCAAUAAGCGGAGGA
rnacentral:misc_RNA from 1 species